rnacentral:rRNA from 1 species
UACGUAGGGUGCGAGCGUUGUCCGGAAUUAUUGGGCGUAAAGGGCUCGUAGGCGGUUUGUCGCGUCGGGAGUGAAAACCCAGGGCUUAACCCUGGGCUGGCUUCCGAUACGGGCAGACUAGAGGUAUGCAGGGGAGAACGGAAUUCCUGGUGUAGCGGUGAAAUGCGCAGAUAUUAGGAGGAACACCGGUGGCGAAGGCGGCUGCCUGGACCGAUACUGACGCUGAGACGCGAAAGCCAGGGAGCGAACGGG